CCACAUUGGGACUGAGAUACGGCCCAGACUCCUACGGGAGGCAGCAGUGGGGAAUAUUGCACAAUGGGCGCAAGCCUGAUGCAGCGACGCCGCGUGCGGGAUGACGGCCUUCGGGUUGUAAACCGCUUUUGACUGGGAGCAAGCCCUUCGGGGUGAGUGUACCUUUCGAAUAAGCACCGGCUAACUACGUGCCAGCAGCCGCGGUAAUACGUAGGGUGCAAGCGUUAUCCGGAAUUAUUGGGCGUAAAGGGCUCGUAGGCGGUUCGUCGCGUCCGGUGUGAAAGUCCAUCGCUUAACGGUGGAUCCGCGCCGGGUACGGGCGGGCUUGAGUGCGGUAGGGGAGACUGGAAUUCCCGGUGUAACGGUGGAAUGUGUAGAUAUCGGGAAGAACACCAAUGGCGAAGGCAGGUCUCUGGGCCGUCACUGACGCUGAGGAGCGAAAGCGUGGGGAGCGAACAGGAUUAGAUACCCUGGUAGUCCACGCCGUAAACGGUGGAUGCUGGAUGUGGGGACCAUUCCACGGUCUCCGUGUCGGAGCCAACGCGUUAAGCAUCCCGCCUGGGGAGUACGGCCGCAAGGCUAAAACUCAAAGAAAUUGACGGGGGCCCGCACAAGCGGCGGAGCAUGCGGAUUAAUUCGAUGCAACGCGAAGAACCUUACCAAGGCUUGACAUGCACGGCGCCACUGCAGAGAUGUGGUGGCAUUUAGUUGGUCGUGUGCAGGUGGUGCAUGGUUGUCGUCAGCUCGUGUCGUGAGAUGUUGGGUUAAGUCCCGCAACGAGCGCAACCCUCGCCCUGUGUUGCCAGCACGUCGUGGUGGGAACUCACGGGGGACCGCCGGGGUCAACUCGGAGGAAGGUGGGGAUGACGUCAGAUCAUCAUGCCCCUUACGUCCAGGGCUUCACGCAUGCUACAAUGGCCGGUACAACGGGAUGCGACACCGCGAGGUGGAGCGGAUCCCUUAAAACCGGUCUCAGUUCGGAUUGGAGUCUGCAACCCGACUCCAUGAAGGCGGAGUCGCUAGUAAUCGCGGAUCAGCAACGCCGCGGUGAAUGCGUUCCCGGGCCUUGUACACACCGCCCGUCAAGUCAUGAAAGUGGGUAGCACCCGAAGCCGGUGGCCCAACCUUUUGGGGGGAGCCGUCUAAGGUGAGACUCGUGAUUGGGACUAAGUCGUAACAAGGUAGCCGUACCGGAAGGUGCGGCUG
rnacentral:rRNA from 1 species